rnacentral:rRNA from 1 species
UGUCAUUAUCAUCCCUGGUAAAGAGCUUUACGACCCUAAGGCCUUCAUCACUCACGCGGCAUUGCUGGAUCAGGGUUGCCCCCAUUGUCCAAUAUUCCCCACUGCUGCCUCCCGUAGG